rnacentral:rRNA from 1 species
AGAAAAAGAGUGGCGAACGGGUGAGUAACACGUGGGUAACCUGCCCAUCAGAAGGGGACAACACUUGGAAACAGGUGCUAAUACCGUAUAACACUAUUUUCCGCAUGGAAGAAAGUUGAAAGGCGCUUCUGCGUCACUGAUGGAUGGACCCGCGGUGCAUUAGCUAGUUGGUGAGGUAACGGCUCACCAAGGCAACGAUGCAUAGCCGACCUGAGAGGGUGAUCGGCCACACUGGGACUGAGACACGGCCCAGACUCCUACGGGAGGCAGCAGUAGGGAAUCUUCGGCAAUGGACGAAAGUCUGACCGAGCAACGCCGCGUGAGUGAAGAAGGUUUUCGGAUCGUAAAACUCUGUUGUUAGAGAAGAACAAGGAUGAGAGUAAAAUGUUCAUCCCUUGACGGUAUCUAACCAGAAAGCCACGGCUAACUACGUGCCAGCAGCCGCGGUAAUACGUAGGUGGCAAGCGUUGUCCGGAUUUAUUGGGCGUAAAGCGAGCGCAGGCGGUUUCUUAAGUCUGAUGUGAAAGCCCCCGGCUCAACCGGGGAGGGUCAUUGGAAACUGGGAGACUUGAGUGCAGAAGAGGAGAGUGGAAUUCCAUGUGUAGCGGUGAAAUGCGUAGAUAUAUGGAGGAACACCAGU